rnacentral:rRNA from 1 species
GACGAACGCUGGCGGCGUGCCUAAUACAUGCAAAUUGAGCGCUGAAGGUUGGUACUUGUACCGACUGGAUGAGCAGCGAACGGGUGAGUAACGCGUGGGGAAUCUGCCUUUGAGCGGGGGACAACAUUUGGAAACGAAUGCUAAUACCGCAUAAAAACUUUAAACACAAGUUUUAAGUUUGAAAGAUGCAAUUGCAUCACUCAAAGAUGAUCCCGCGUUGUAUUAGCUAGUUGGUGAGGUAAAGGCUCACCAAGGCGAUGAUACAUAGCCGACCUGAGAGGGUGAUCGGCCACAUUGGGACUGAGACACGGCCCAAACUCCUACGGGAGGCAGCAGUAGGGAAUCUUCGGCAAUGGACGAAAGUCUGACCGAGCAACGCCGCGUGAGUGAAGAAGGUUUUCGGAUCGUAAAACUCUGUUGGUAGAGAAGAACGUUGGUGAGAGUGGAAAGCUCAUCAAGUGACGGUAACUACCCAGAAAGGGACGGCUAACUACGUG